CACAGGUACUUGGGUGACUUGUUUCAUCCAGCCAUUCCUAGGUUCCAUCUCCUUUCUAAAUGAUGUGAUGUCAGAGAAGUGCAGCGGGCGGCAUCGGUCACCACAGCACCCUGCUGAAAGAUCUAAAGGGGAGAGGGGCCUAGGUAGAGACAGCAGGAGGCUCUGCCUCACUAAGGAGCACUCGGCAGCGGCCGCCGAGAAGGGGUCUUUGCGCGUCUCGCGGAGCGGCGACCCAUCCUGGCUGCCCAUUUCCGAGGACGACGACGGCAGCCGCUGCAGCCGAGCGGACUUCAGGAAGGAGUCUGGGUCUGCGGGCGGUCGGGUGGUCACUUUGGGCGCCCCCUAUCCGGCGUUGCCAGCCUCCGCACCGGGCUGUGCCGCCGCGCCCCCGCCCUGGGCCCUUCACUCAAGCCCCAUUGGCCAGCAGUGAGCCUCCCCAACGCACCCCGGGGCUACAAAGGGACAGGCACCCAGAGGGUAGCAGCCAAAAGGCAGAGGCCCCCGGGCCAGUUCCCAGAACUUGGGAACUGGGGCCGAGAGCACUUCUGGGAACAAUGGGCUGGAGGGUGGGGCUCAGCCCUCCCUGGAACCUGAUCUUGCUCCAGCUGGUGCCUAGCCUGUGCAAGGAGGCCGGCCACCAAGCAGCCUUGCUCUGGUUAUCCAUUCAUUCACCCAUUGUGAAGCGCCUACUCUAUGUCUGGCCCUAUGCCAGAUGCCGGGGGGGGGGUGGGGGGGGGGGAAGCGGGGGGCGGGGGGUGCAGAUAGUUCCCAAACUCCUUGCAGAAAAAGGCAAUAAACAAGCCAAGGAGUAUAUAAUUAUAAGUAGUGGCCGGUGCUAUGAAGAAGGCAGAAAUGUAGAUAAUAAUGGUAGGGGAGAGGUAAAGGUAAAGGAGGAUUGCUUCCAGGGGAAAAUCAGGGAAAGUUUCUCCCAGGAAGUGACUUUCAAGUUGAGAACUGAAAGGUGAGUUGCCAGUUACAGAUAGAGCAUGGUGUGUGUGUGUGUGUGUGUGUGUGUGUGUGUGUGUGUGUGUGUGUUUCUAGCAAAGGACACAUCAAAAUAUAAAGACCCAAAUGUGGCAACGAACUUGGCACAUUAGAAAGAAAUAAGGCCUGGGUAGCUGUGACAUAGAAGAAAAGGGUAAAGAGUAGUAAGGAUGGAAGUUAGUCCCUAACAUGCUGGGGCUAUUGGGCUUGUGAGAAGCUUGGAUUUUACCUUAAAUUAUGGAUGCCACUGGAGAGUUUUAAGCACCAACACGAAGUCAUCUGUUUUGUGUUUUUAAAAGACCCCUCUGGAGGCUGGGGCUGUAGCUCAGUAGUACAGUGUUUGCUGAGCAUGUGUGAAGCCCUGGUUUUGCUCACCAGCACCAGGAAAAAUAAAUUCUUCUGGCUGCUGUCUGGAGAGCAGAUGAGAGGAUAAUAAGAAUAGAGGUAGAAGAGGAAAAAAAAAAAAAAAAAAAGCCAUUUACUUGCUGGGUGCUUAUGACCUAGUCACUUUAAGUUAUAAGCCUCACCUUCCUAUCAUGUCAGACGGGUACAAGGAUCCCACAAGGUGAUAUACACCCAGUGCUCUAUAGCUGUUCAAAGUUAUUUUAUUCUUUUCCUACCUCCCACAGCUGAGACUCUCUUCUAUUUCAUAGGUCUCUCUGGGUGUAUUAGGCUUGAACUUAGGUCCCUAAAUGGUCAAAAGGCCCUGAAAGUUUGUAAACAAUAAAGAAAUUGGCAAGUAUCUUGAUCUUAACUUUGUCAUACUCACAAAAAUUUUUAGAAGUUUAUUCAUUUAACUAUUUCCUUUUUGACUCUUUCUUUUCUUUUUUUAAACAAAGACUUGCUAUGCUGCUCCUGGCCCUUACAUAGUUGAGACUAUAGGUAUGUACCACUGCAGUCAGUAACUUUUUGAGUACCUGCUGCUGUGUACUGAAUAUAACCUUUUAAAAAGUUGUUCGAUAAAAUUAAAAAUUGGCUAUCUUGCUAUUUCAAGCUAGUAUAAUGGUUCACUGAUGCCAACAUGAUAAAAUCUAAGCUCCUUUUACUUUAUUUUGCAGUAGUG
ensembl:lincRNA